GCGCCCGUAGCUCAACCGGAUAGAGCAUCUGCCUUCUAAGCCGAUGGUUGCAGGUUCGAGUCCUGCCGGGCGCGCCA
rnacentral:tRNA from 2 species